rnacentral:rRNA from 1 species
CCCUUAGAUGUCCUGGGCCGCACGCGCGCUACACUGACGAAGGCAACGAGCUUUCCUUUACCGAAAGGUACGGGUAAUCUUUUGAAACUUCGUCGUGCUGGGGAUAGAUCCUUGCAAUUUUUGAUCUUAAACGAGGAAUUCCCAGUAAGCGCAAGUCAUCAACUUGCGUUGAUUACGUCCCUGCCCUUUGUACACACCGCCCGUCGCUACUACCGAUUGAAUGGUUUAGUGAGGCCUUCGGAUCCGCGACUCGUUUUGUGGAGAAGUCGGACAAACUCAGUCAUUUAGAGGAAGUAAAAGUCGUAACA